ensembl:lncRNA
GGAAGGGUCGACUGCUCCUUCUCCUUCUCCUGCUAAGCCUUAGAUCUGUCAGAAUCCACACUUCAUAGUGGUAUGGGAAUAGCUCCAGUCAUGACUGCAAAGCCCUGCAGAGAGUUGUGCACUUAGCUGAGCGCGUCUCAGGGUCUGCUCUCCCCGCUCUGCAGGACAUCUACCUCAAACGCUGCAAAAGCAGAGCUGUUAAAAUCAUCAAGGACUCCAUCCACCCCAGUAACCAUCUUUUCACUUUGCUGCCAUCUGAUGUGAAGGGAAAAGCAGCUGCUCCAUAUUAGCCUCCAACAGUGUCUUCUCAGAUCCAUGUGUCGGCACAUUCAAGUACCUGUACAUCUCAUACUCCUGCGUGUCUUAAGUAGAACGACAGCUGAUCUUGUGGAUUUGGCCUCAGAAUCUCCUCCACUUUAAAUGUGCUGCAACUAAAUCUAUUUCUCAAUUGUUAAUGCAUCUAAUAUUAUAUUGUAUUUGCCGGCUUUCCUCCUGUAAAGAUAUGGUAAAAAGGGUUAUGGCAGAAUACUAGUAUGCUAAUCUGAAUUAGCAGUCUUUGUGUGCAGAUAAAAUCAGUG